UACAGAGGGUGCAAGCGUUGUUCGGAAUUACUGGGCGUAAAGGGCGUGUAGGCGGUUUAGCAAGUCAGAUGUGAAAUCCCGGGGCUCAACUCCGGAAGUGCAUUUGAAACUGCUAGACUAGAGUACUGUAGAGGUUGGCGGAAUACCCAGUGGAGAGGUGAAAUUCGUAGAUAUUGGGUGGAACACCGGUGGCGAAGGCGGCCAACUGGGCAGUUACUGACGCUGAGGCGCGAGAGCGUGGGGAGCAAACAGG
rnacentral:rRNA from 1 species